rnacentral:rRNA from 1 species
UGGGGAAUUUUGGACAAUGGGGGAAACCCUGAUCCAGCCAUCCCGCGUGUGCGAUGAAGGCCUUCGGGUUGUAAAGCACUUUUGGCAGGAAAGAAACGUCAUGGGUUAAUACCCCGUGAAACUGACGGUACCUGCAGAAUAAGCACCGGCUAACUACGUGCCAGCAGCCGCGGUAAUACGUGGGGUGCAAGCGUUAAUCGGAAUUACUGGGCGUAAAGCGUGCGCAGGCGGUUCGGAAAGAAAGAUGUGAAAUCCCAGAGCUCAACUUUGGAACUGCAUUUUUAACUACCGGGCUAGAGUGUGUCAGAGGGAGGUGGAAUUCCGCGUGUAGCAGUGAAAUGCGUAGAUAUGCGGAGGAACACCGAUGGCGAAGGCAGCCUCCUGGGAUAACACUGACGCUCAUGCACGAAAGCGUGGGGAGCAAACAGG